rnacentral:sRNA from 1 species
UGACCGGUAAGUGAGGUUACUGCAAGGAUAUAGGCUGCUGCCGCGAAGAGAUGGAGACAUUUCCAGUCGGUUUGAGCAGGGCAUAUCGUCGAAGGUAUGCCAUAACGCAGCUCCAACGCCUUGCAGAGCUAAAGCUCAAACGGGGA